UACGUAGGGUGCAAGCGUUGUUCGGAAUUAUUGGGCGUAAAGGGCGCGUAGGCGGUGCGGUAAGUCUGUAGUGAAAUCUCUGGGCUCAACUCAGAGUCUGCUAUAGAAACUGCCGUGCUUGAGUGUGGGAGAGGUGAGUGGAAUUCCCGGUGUAGCGGUGAAACGCGUAGAUAUCGGGAGGAACACCUGUGGCGAAAGCGGCUCACUGGACCAUUACUGACGCUGAUGCACGAAAGCUAGGGGAACAAACAGG
rnacentral:rRNA from 1 species